AUUCCAGAAAGUGCAGCAUAUUUUUCAGGCUCAUUUUUUUAACUAUGUUUUGUUACGAGGAUAAACGACCUGAAGUAUAGUUAAUCCCAAAAGGAAAUCAAUGUAUACGACACAAAUGCCCAAAAUAUCAAAACUAUUCAAGAUUCAAGCCAAGAUGCAAAUUGGACAUGACAAUCAAAUUGGAUAUUUAGAGACAGAAAGAAAAUUCAAAGGAAUGUAUAGACCCAAACCCAAACCCAAACCUGCGUCCAAUCUGAUUCAGAUUGAGACCUCAAAUUAAUUCCCACACUCAGCCGCUUCCCUCCUCCCCUUUCUCUUUCUGCACGCACCAUAUUCUGCUCUUUCUCUCUUUAAUAAAGAAAAUUAAAUUAAAGCAGACCAUUAGUAAUGGGUAAGAAAAAGCAAAAGAUUGUGCUACCGCCGGAGCUGCUACCUGAAAUUCCUGAUGAGGCAGUUGAAGUAUCAGAUGAGGACGUGGCUUUCGUUGC